UCAUCUUUUCCAAAUAAAGAGAGAGGCUCGGCCAUGGUUGAUGGAGCAGCUCCAAGUGUGGCAUUUUUCUUCAAGGUCAUGGUAGCAAGAUGAAGUCUUUAGGGCAACAAAAACAUUGAUGAACCAAGCUUCAAAUUCCAACAAAGUUGGGUCACUAUAACCUAAGGUUGAGAUCCUAUGGGGCAGCAUAUACAUAUUGUGUGUGGAUAAAUGCUAAAGGUACAAAUAUUAACUUCGGGAAUCCGCUAGCUUAGAAUUUCCACUCAGCUAUUUUGGAAGUGCUUCAUUGUUCCGGAGCCUAGAAUUACGAUAUAGAUAUAUUUGAUGUAUAUAUUUAUUUAUCCAUGGGUACGACGGGGCCUUAUCCCGUCAUAUGAUACUGUUGAUAUUCUUAGAGGUUUGUAGACAUAUAUGUGGGUGGUAUAUAGAUGUUAUCCAAUUGUACUAGUAUGACUUAUAUUUUGGGAACGUUCCUAUUUAUAGUGGCGGCCUUAUCGACUUGCAUAUAUGUAUAUGAUAUAUAGCGGGAUGUUUCUACAUGUAAUGAUAGCCUUGUCGGCUUAUGUACUACAUUACCUUUGAUGUUAUAACUCCUC